rfam:Myotis brandtii contig257591, whole genome shotgun sequence.
GCCAAUGUGGUUCAGUGGAUAGAGCAUCAGCUCCUGCACUAAAGGGUCACAGGUUCAAUUCUUGGUCAUGGGCA